rnacentral:rRNA from 1 species
GAUGAACGCUGGCGGCGUGCCUAAUACAUGCCAGUCGAGCGAACGGACGAGAAGCUUGCUUCUCUGAUGUUAGCGGCGGACGGGUGAGUAACACGUGGAUAACCUACCUAUAAGACUGGGAUAACUUCGGGAAACCGGAGCUAAUACCGGAUAAUAUUUUGAACCGCAUGGUUCAAAAGUGAAAGACGGUCUUGCUGUCACUUAUAGAUGGAUCUGCGCUGCAUUAGCUAGUUGGUAAGGUAACGGCUUACCAAGGCAACGAUGCAUAGCCGACCUGAGAGGGUGAUCGGCCACACUGGAACUGAGACACGGUCCAGACUCCUACGGGAGGCAGCAGUAGGGAAUCUUCCGCAAUGGGCGAAAGCCUGACGGAGCAACGCCGCGUGAGUGAUGAAGGUCUUCGGAUCGUAAAACUCUGUUAUUAGGGAAGAACAUAUGUGUAAGUAACUGUGCACAUCUUGACGGUACCUAAUCAGAAAGCCACGGCUAACUACGUG